AGCAGAACCUGUCACUGGUCUAAGACUCGUGACUUUUAACUUCCACAAAGGCUGCAGAUUCUAAUGAUCAAUGGACACAAGCUUUGGACCUGUCCAUUUCAACACUGAUUUCAAACCACGUGUCAUACAGUGCAGCGGGUGCUGCUGUCGGCUCCUCUCCCGUCCCAAAGCACUCACAGGCGGACAGUCCUCGCGCAGUAGCCCCGCCCAGCUGCAAUCAGAGCAG